GUGACUCGGUGCGCGGAUGAAUUGUGUAUGUGGAGGAUGGAGUAGCUCUCUGUUUGGGUGCUCCCCAUUUUACCAUUAGAACCCCAAAGGAUGUUGUGCACAUGCGCGUUGUGCAAUCUACCGUAGCGCGAGCGGUAGCAAAGGGAGUCCUAAUGGCGGAGAAUGUACGCUCGCCUUUUGACUACCGGGAGCCACCGACUCUCGACAGCGACGGGGAUGGGAGCAAACCGCCGCCGCCACGGGGACGCGUGUGUGGGAGAAAAAGGAAGGGGACACCUGUGAAGGUGUGCGACAGGGCGUAUGUGACAGAAGAUGAAGAGGAGGAGAGCAUGUCAGAACACAGCUACAGCCCUGGUGAUGGCCAGUAUCCAGAGGGUGCAGAAGACCGUCUCGCUCCACCUGGCAGUCCCUACUACCUGCCUGAUCCCAGUCAGCUCUGUGUGCCAGAGUUGGGGGAGGAGGGAGCGAGCGGUGUUCGCGGGCCCGUGCUCUUCCAUCCACCUCCCAAUUGUCGAAUUCGAGAAGUCCACUGCGGGACCCAAGUGCGUCUGGUUGUCAUAGCAAUCCGAGACAUCGCCAAAGGGGAAGAGAUCACAGUGGACUACAGUCUAACUGACUGGGGCGAGAAUGCAUUGGAGGAUGAAGCUGGACCCCACCCACUGUCCCUUGCUGUUUCUGAUUACCUUACCCCUUCCUGGUCACUGUCUCCCUCAUCCUCCCCACUCACCCACUCUGAACCCAGUGACUCAGAUCGCGAGGAGGAUGAAGAGGAGGAAGAUGAUGAUGACGACGACGACGACGAUGAAGAAGAGGAAAUUGAGGAGUUGAGAGGCCGAAUGCUUCGUCGCCGCAAGAAGCGCAAGAUGCCGGCAGCUGUCAAUUCAAAGAAGAAGAGCACACCCACGUCCACUAGAGGACCUGGGCGCCCUUGCUCCUCCUUUUCAAGGCCAGUGCCUGUUGCACCCCCGGUCAGAUCCCAGUCACAGCCCCCAGUAGGUUCCCUAGCUCCCCCCACCACCAACAUCAACAAUAACAUUAACAUAAACAUUGGCAGCUCCAGCGGUGCCACCAUGAGCCGGCGGCAGCACUGCCCGUACUGUGGCCGUCACUACCGCUCUUUGGCCCGGCACCUGGAGAAACACCACGCCAACCAGCCUGAGGUCCGGACAGCCAUGGAGCUGGCACACCUGCACACACACAGCUCUUCAAACGGCAGCUCCUCACAUCCCCAACCCUCAUCCUCGUCCUCUGCCUCGGCUACUCACAGCCAUUCCUUCGCCGUUCCUCAGCCCUCUCCCUCCAACCCAGCGCCGCCGUCGCUUUUCCCCAGGAAGAAGGAAUCGCCGACUACCCGCUCGAGUGCAGGGGGCGUCUCCUUCUCCCUCUCGUUGUCGCCACCUUCUUCAACUCAGCUCACACCCUCCAAGAAGGCGCCAAGCUUACCACUGCCUGCCACAAAAAAGCCCACACCCCCGAUGGUGGCACGAGUAAAGAGCCCAUCACCGCCUCCUCCAUCUCCUCCCAAAAGAGGACGGAGGAUGAAGAGAGAGAAGCAGGAGGAGCCGCCGCAGAAGUUGGAGAGCCCGAGAGGUCAAGAGGAGCUGGCUCCACCUCCUACCCCAGAACCAGAUAUAGAUCCGGAAGAAGAUCUGGAUUUGAGUGGAGAUGGGGAAGAUGAUGCACCAGAGGAGAAGAAUGGAGAGACUGUAAGCACACAAAGACACCACAUGUCUCCAUUGCUGUCUUCCCUCUCCUGUCUGGUGGUUUACCUCCGCCACCAGCAGCAUUCCUCUUUCAUGUCUUUAACCCGCUCGCCUCACUCUGCCGAGGCCUGGCGUCUGCUCUGCCAUUCCAGCCUCUCGCUCCUCAUCCUCUACAACCGCCACAGAGAGUGUGAGGUAGCCAAGCUCACUAUCCAGGACUACCGCAACCGUACCACCCCUCAGGCCAGCUCCAGCACGAACCCCCCCACUGGCAUGGAAGCCCUCCUGUCCCCCUUUGAACGUCAUGUGCUUUGUCACCUCCCACGGGCGGGUGUUUUAGGCAAGCGCGGUCGCAUCCAGCCGCUUAUUCUCCCACCACACUGUGAAUCCUGCCUGGAUAUGCUUCUUCAAACCAGCCCGAACGUGGGCGUGGACCCAGACAGCCCCUAUGUCUUCUCCAGACCAUACCACUCUCCUGCCACCCCUCUCCGUGGCACAGACCUUCUAAGGAACCUGGCACGAUCCAGCGGGGCAAAAAACCCGGGAUCACUGACAGCGACGCGCGUGCGACGACAAGUAGCCAUCCUCACCCAGUUGCUGCUAUUAGAGGAGGGUGAGGGCCAGGGUGGCGCUACCAAAUGUCUGGAGGAGUUUUUAGAGCGGGAGUACCACGUGACCCAGAACUGCUCCACUAUCGUGCGUGAUCCUGCACUGAUGGGCCGUGUGGGACGUGUUGUUCUUUAUGGAGAGAGGGAGGGUGUGCUCUUCAGAGGGAUGAGCCUGCAGCACAUCUGCCUGGAGCUGGAUGUGAUGUCUGGAAACUCAGGAGACUCCUUUUCGGAAGACUCUGAGGCUGAAGAAGAGAAGGAGGAAACUAAGGAGAAAUCUGAGGUGUUGGUGAAGAAGAAGGGACCUGGACGGCCACCACGUAAGAAGAGAGCCCCAGUUCCUUCUCCUGUUAGCCCAUCUGUAGCUAAUGCGCAUAAGAGGAGAUGUGUUCCACCCAAAUCAGGGAAGCGCGGUGUGUUGAAGCGUCCCUGGUCAGAGGCGGAGCGUGUAGCAGUAGAGACUCACCUGAACAGAAACCUCAUGGAGCUGCGGGUCCCCGCGAAGGCCGACUGCGAGCGCUGCCUCGAGCUCUGCCCCCUGCUAGUGAGCAACCAGCGAGACUGGAGGGCAAUCAAGUUCUACGUCCACAAUCGCAUCCAGCUGCUGAAGAAGCAGGAGAGGAGGGAAAGCGCCGCGGCAGUCUGUUAGAGCAGAGGCACAGACGACCAAAAUGUGUAAACUAGUACCAGCAAUCGCGGUCAAGAGAAAACUCUUGGUCAUGGUGGAGAGCAGCUUCUUUUUUCAUUUCAUUAUUGGGUGCCGUACCUGACGUUGGGUGCAUUCCUGGACUCAUCACCCUGGUCAUAAGGGAGUAGUGUAAUAAAAGUGACUAAGCUAAGAAAACA
rnacentral:lncRNA from 1 species